CCUACGGGAGGCAGCAGUAAGGAAUAUUGGUCAAUGGAGGCAACUCUGAACCAGCCAUGCCGCGUGCAGGAUGACGGCCCUAUGGGUUGUAAACUGCUUUUAUACAAGAGAAAACCCUGGUACGUGUACCAGGUUGAUAGUAUUGUAAGAAUAAGCAUCGGCUAACUUCGUGCCAGCAGCCGCGGUAAGACGAAGGAUGCAAGCGUUAUCCGGAUUCAUUGGGUUUAAAGGGUGCGUAGGCGGACUGAUAAGUCAGUGGUGAAAUCUCUUUGCUUAACAAAGAAACUGCCAUUGAUACUGUCGGUCUAGAGUAUAGAUGACGUUGGCGGAAUAUGACAUGUAGUGGUGAAAUACUUAGAUAUGUCAUAGAACACCGAUUGCGAAGGCAGCUAACGAAACUAUAACUGACGCUGAGGCACGAAAGUGCGGGGAUCAAACAGGAUUAGAUACCCUGGUAGUCCGCACCGUAAACGAUGAUUACUCGUUGUUGGCGAUAUGACAGUCAGCGACCAAGCGAAAGCGAUAAGUAAUCCACCUGGGGAGUACGCCGGCAACGGUGAAACUUAAAUGAAUUGACGG
rnacentral:rRNA from 1 species